rnacentral:rRNA from 1 species
GUGUCAGCAGCCGCGGUAAUACGAAGGGUGCAAGCGUUACUCGGAAUCACUGGGCGUAAAGCGUGCGUAGGCGGUUUCUUAAGUCUGUCGUGAAAGCCCUGGGCUCAACCUGGGAACGGCGAUGGAUACUGGGAAGCUAGAAUGUGAGAGAGGAUGGUGGAAUUCCCGGUGUAGCGGUGAAAUGCGUAGAGAUCGGGAGGAACACCAGUGGCGAAGGCGGCCAUCUGGCUCAACAUUGACGCUGAGGCACGAAAGCGUGGGGAGCAAACAGGAUUAGAAACCCUUGUAGUCC